rnacentral:lncRNA from 1 species
GACAAGAAAUGUUCACACAGAAGUAAUAAGGCAUGAAGUUGAUAUUUCAUUAAAUAUUAACCGUUCACAUAAAGUUAGAAUUUUCACAGAAAGUUCUACAAAUAGAGAUAAGGAGAGGUCAUCUUCAGGCUUCUUCCUUGUCAUCGUCACCAUCUAAAGAGUCUAGAAGAAAUGGAUCUACCUUGGCCUGAGCUUUUUCUUGCCUUUACUUCGGCAGAUUUCACAUCCUUUCGCAUACAUAUGGUCGAUCUCAUCGUCCAGCUCGGCGGAUUUUCUGUAUGCUACUUGGAUUUCUUAUGAAGGUCUUCGGUCAGUGGCGGACUCAAAUUCUUAAGGGCCCGAAGCUCUUUGAGCUCUUCUUCGUGC